rnacentral:lncRNA from 1 species
ACCAUCUUUAUUUAACUCCAGCCCUCCAAGCCUCAGCUCUGACAUCACCUCCUCAGAGUGGCCUUCUUUCCAGCAAGUAUUUCAAUGCCACUUAAGUGCCAAGGUGCUUAGGAUACAGCACCGAGCCAGACACAAGUCUGGAACUUCACAGCACUUAGCCCAGGCUGGGAUUAUAUGUUUGUGUUUGCAGUAAUGAAAUGAUCAUCUCCCUAUCUAGGCUCUGUGUUCCCAGAGGGGCUAUGUUCAUUUUGCUCACUAGGGCCUUGUCUAGUGUCGGGCACAAAGUUGUUAGGUGAAUGAAUGACCUCGGGCAGGGAAAGGGAAACAAAGGGACAAGAAAUUCCUUUCUUUGGGCCUCAGUUUCUCAACAAAGACACUAAGCCUAACUAAGAGCUUUUCUGGGUUUGAGGAAGAACCCCCCCAUAUAUAUCCUGCUCAGCCAGCCCCCUCCAGCCCUGCCUUUACCCCUCCCUCACAGCCCAUCUGGCUCCCUGCGGAGCUAAGAUAAUCUUCCCAUCUGUGAUACCCUUUGCUCAGGGAUGAUACAACCAUUAUCCCAUUUAGUCACCUUAACAGCCCUGAGAGCUGGGUGGAUGGCCCCCCACCUUUCAGAUAAGGAAGGGGGGUGCUCAGAAUGAUGAAGUUACUUAAGUGACUGCCCAGACGGUAUGGCCCUGUCUCCAGUGACCCUGGCCCACAGGUGUUCCGCUGGUAGAACCGGGUGCACACUCAAGAGGGACCAGCAAAGGGGAAGGGAUGCUGCAGGAACUCCUAUAAUCCUGCUUCUGAGUGAGAUUUAUGUGGGACCCUGCCCCCUUUAGAAAUUCGAGCACUCCUGGGAGAACUAACCCUUUAAGGAGGUAACUCCUUCUUCCCAACCCAUUUACAGAAUCCCAUCAUCGCGUGCACAUCUCAUCCCAGGAGGGAGAGAGGAGCUGCCGAGUAGAAAGCAGACUGGCUGCAGGGACAGAAGACACCAAGGGCACCCUCCCCCACAGCUGCGCCUGGACCUCCUGCGAGAAGAGGAAGCCUUAGGGGUCUUUAUUGUACCCUCAAGACCCCAGAGAGAAACAAAAUGCUGAGGGGUCGCAAGCAGGUCUCUUACCUCUCUGGGCCUCGAAUAUUUAUCCAUAGGAGGCUGAAGGUAACUGCCUCGCAACUCAUUCAUGAGGGUCAAUGGGACGACAGUGGCAAGAGGGGUUGGCACACUGCCCAGACUGUUCCAAAGCCAGGGCUGGGGCUGCCAAAAAGGCCACCUGUGCUUCACCAUGUUCCAUCCUCCCUCUCUUCCACCUCCCCAGGCUGGGCUCCACUUGUCCAGCUCUCUGACUUCCUGGCAAGGUUGAGUGGGCUCCAGCUAGGAAGGGGCCAGCUGACCUUGUUGGCCGGAGCACUAAUCCCCUCCAGAUGGGCUGGUGGCUUGCACUGAGGGCCUGGCUGCCCAGACAGAGCUGACUCUGGUCCCAGUGACCAUGUGUGGCUGUGUGACCGUGUGAAGGGAGCAAUUCCAUCCAGUCUCCCGGUUCCUUCCUGCUUCACUCCUCCCCACUGCUGACAUCCCCCACAAGCAGUGGCCCCAUGAAGGCCUUCUUGUCUCUAGUAGCCUCUUUUGGCUCUCUGUGUUGCUUAGCUGGGGGGCUGAGGAUGCCUGGCACAGCCGAUUCCCAAAGGCCUCAGAGGGACAGCUCCUCCCCCUGCUUCCCCUACCCCCUGUCAGCCCCAUCACUCUGCACCUGCCCUUCCCAAAGCAUGUGUCCCAGUCCCCAUCCCUCAACCCAAGGAAGCUAGACCCAAGGAAGAUGUAUGUGUCAAGGACAGGACUCAGGAGCAUUUCCCAACAUUUAGGGGAAAGGAUGAGGUCACAGGAAGGCUUUCUCUGCAGCAAGAAGGACUCAGAUAGAUUUGGGGAAGGACUUCCAACCCAACAGAUGUUCCAAACGAAAGAGAACUCUUUCUUUGGACCAGCUUGUAUGAAAGCAGACGAAUGGACAACAUGACCUCCUGCAAGGAGGCCUUGCUUCCAUCCUUUCGAGGCUGGGGCUAGAUGGAUACCCCAAAAGAAAUGUCUUAGUCGUGACAAUAGCA